rnacentral:rRNA from 1 species
GUCGAGCGGUAACAGGUGUAGCAAUACAUGCUGACGAGCGGCGAACGGGUGAGUAAUACUUCGGAAUCUACCCUCUGGUGGGGAAUAACCAGCCGAAAGGUUGGCUAAUACCGCAUACGUCCUACGGGAGAAAGCAGGGGAUCGUAAGACCUUGCGCCGAUGGAUGAGCCGAAGUCGGAUUAGCUAGUUGGUGAGGUAACGGCUCACCAAGGCGACGAUCCGUAGCUGGUCUGAGAGGACGACCAGCCACACUGGGACUGAGACACGGCCCAGACUCCUACGGGAGGCAGCAGUGGGGAAUAUUGGACAAUGGGGGCAACCCUGAUCCAGCGACGCCGCGUGUGUGAAGAAGGCCUGCGGGUUGUAAAGCACUUUUAGUGGGGAUGAAAUGUGCAGGGUUAAUACCUCUGCAUUUUGACCUAACCCACAGAAAAAGCACCGGCUAACUCUGUGCCAGCAGCCGCGGUAAUACAGAGGGUGCAAGCGUUAAUCGGAAUUACUGGGCGUAAAGCGUGCGCAGACGGUUAUGUAAGUCAGAUGUGAAAGCCCCGGGCUCAACCUGGGAAUUGCAUUUGAGACUGUGUAGCUAGGGUGCGGAAGAGGGAAGCGGAAUUUCCGGUGUAGCGGUGAAAUGCGUAGAUAUCGGAAGGAACACCAGUGGCGAAAGCGGCUUCCUGGUCCAGCACCGACGUUCA